GGACCCGCACAAGCAGUGGAGGAUGGGGUUUAAUAUGAAGCUACGCGUAGAACCUUACCGAGGCUUGACAUCCUGGGAAUCCGAUCGAAAGAUUGGAGUGCCUUCGGGAGCCUAGUGACAGGUGCUGCAUGGCCGUCGUCAGCUCGUGUCGUGAGAUGUUGGGUUAAGUCCCGCAACGAGCGCAACCCUUGUCGUCUGUUGUAUUUUCAGGCGAGACUGCCCGGGCCAACCGGGAGGAAGGUGAGGAUGACGUCUGGUCGGCAUGGCCCUUACGCCUCGGGCUACACCCGUCCUACAAUGACUACUACAACGCGUUGCCAAGCCGUAAGGUGGAGCUAAUCGCAUCAAAAGUAGUCCCAGUUCGGAUUGAGGGCUGAAACUCGCCCUCAUGAAGUCGGAAUUGCUAGUAAUGGCAGGUCAGCAAUACUGCCGUGAAUACGUUCCCGGGUCUU
rnacentral:rRNA from 1 species